rnacentral:misc_RNA from 1 species
GAUGAAGAACGUAGCGAAAUGCGAUACUUGGUGUGAAUUGCAGAAUCCCGUGAACCAUCGAGUCUUUGAACGCAAGUUGCGCCCGAAGCCACUAGGCCGAGGGCACGCCUGCCUGGGCGUCACACGCCGUUGCCCCCCCAUCUACUCCUUCGGGAUUGCGGGGGGGCGGAUGAUGGCCUCCCGUGCGCCUAGCCGCGCGGUUGGCAUAAAUACCAAGUCCUCGGCGACGCACGCCACGCCAAUCGGUGGUUGCGAAACCUCGGUUGCCCGUCGUGUGCGUUCGUCGCGCAUCGAGGGCUCGAAAAAAUGCUCGGCUCCGGCUGGGCUUUCAACGCGACCCCAGGUCAGGCGGGGUUACCCGCUGAAUUUAAGCAUAUCAAUAAGCGGAGGA